GGACCGGAAGUCGAAGCCACAGCCAAGGGCCACUGAUUUAAUCAAUCGUGCCUACUGAACGAGGCCUCCGUAAGACCCCGAAAGGACGGGGUUCACAGAACCUCCCCCUCGGUGCACAUGUAGAGGGGGAGAGUGGUGUGCCUGCAGUGCUCGCGGCAACUCCAUCCCUUUUCCUCAUACCCUGCCCGAGGCACCUCUUCGAUCUGGCUGCUCCCGAGUUCUGUCCCUUUAUAAUGAACUGGAGAUCUAGAGGAAGACAGUGUGAAGACACUGGAGAAAGAUGGCCAUCUAUAAGCUGAGGAGGAAGACAUUAGAAGAAGCCCUGCCAACACAAGGAUCCUGGACUUCUAGAAUAAAAGAGGAACUGCAAUUAGACACGAAGCUUAUUGGAAGAAGGCUUAGAAAUGGAGUGGACAUGCAAAAGGGGACCAACCCAAACAUUUGCUAAAUUUCUGCCUGAAUUGUUUGGAGUCUUUUUAUGGAUGAAAGAUGCGUGCUUCACAACCUCCUCACUGCUGGACCGGGGUGGUAAGAUUUCCUUUGGCUUAAAUACAC